CAGCUAGGUGGGUGACCUUGUCAUAAAAGGAAAUUAAGUUCCUUAAACAGGACUUUCCCCUCAUGAACCCGUGUUGGCUGUGACCAUUGACUGCAUUGUCCUUCAGGUGUUUUUCAAUACCUCCCAAGUAAAAAUACCUCCCAGUACAAAUGACUGGGACCUCUCUAGAUUCCCAAGACCAUUGAAAAAUAGUUUAGAGAUGUCUCACGAUGACAUCAGCCAGCUCUCUGAGUACCCUGGGAUGAAUCCCAUCAAGCCCCAGAGACUAUAUGCAUCCAGAUGGAGUAGCAAAUCCCGAACAAGUUUGGGGUUGGCUGGGAGUUUAUUGUUCCUGCAGUCACAGUCCUCCAACUCGUGGCUCCAGGGGUCCCACCAGGGUGGUGCCCAUCAUCAGUAUUAAAGACAGAAGCAAAGAAAGCAUUAAGCAUCUCUGCUUUGUCUGCAUCCCUAUUGGUGUGGUGACAAACCUCAUCAAGUAGUGGACUGAUGUUAUCUCUGGUCCUCCUUUUGCUGUUAACAUAUUUAAAAAAACACUUUUUCUGUUGUCCCACAGAGUACUGGGCAGAUUCAACUCUAACUGAGCUUUGGCCGCGUGAAUUUUCUCCCUACGAUGGUGAACACCAUCUCUGUAGUCCUACCAUGUCGCCUGACCAUGCUUCCAGUGGCCGUACUCUUUCUUUUUCCGCCUAAGCUCUACAAGAAAAUCCCUGUUCAGCCAUGCCGACUUUCUGCCCCAGCUGCCUGACUUCUGACAUUUCGGAAUUGCCUGGUCCUGUGCUCUUAAGAGGUGGUGCUUAAAAAGCAACCGGUGCUGACAGACCCCAGUGUCUUCGAAAGCAGUUUUCCAAGAGACCUUACCAACUAGUUCCCUGAGCAGCCUGAAGUCUGCUCUACCUGUGUCCAGGGUUGCAGUUUUGGUGGCAGUUUUCCUCCUACCACCAAAGAUUUUUAAAUCGACUACUUCAUGGUCAGUCACUAAGGCCAAGACAUAUUGAUCAGCUGGGUCUGCCUCUUCCUUUCAAUUUUGUUCCCUGCUACUGGAAGCACAGACGAAAACAGUAUCUGUGUGCCUGAUCCUUUACCCAAUUGUCCCAAAGCCCCAGAGUUCCUUUUGAUUGCUCUUGGACUUCUCUUUGAUACUUAAUUGCUGCCAAUAUGAAAAAAAAACAAGCUUUGUAGCAUUCUUCCAUAGAAAGAAGUCAUUGCUUUGCUGUUCUGUAUUUUUAAUUUAGUUUUCUGUGGGCUUUAUCUCUCUUCAGGCUUGAUUCAUCUUUUUGAAUGUAAUUUAUUACUCUCUACUUGUGUGUCACCAUACAGUUGAAGUUUAAGCAGUGAUCUGGAAAUAGUGCUCCUGGCUCAAUUUCAUGUAGUUUCUCCAUCCUUAAGUGAGUAUAGUUCCUUUAGGCUCCCUAUUAUCAACUUAGUCUGAUGGUGCAAGCUUUGUUUUAUAGCAUUUGAAAGACGGAGUCAUUUGUGUUAAUUUGAUCUUCGUUCAUUGUUUUUAAGCUUGAACACACCAGGUUGAGAACUUCCAGAGAUUUUACCUGCCACUUCACUGGAAACUAUAGCCUGAAGACAAUUUAGCAUUUAAAUAUAACUGUGAAGAUUAGGGUUUCACAACUUCUUUUCAAAGUUCAAUUAAGGAUAGGACGAAAUUAAAAAUUUAAGUAGCCUCCAGGAUGAGGUUUGAAAGACAACACACAUUGACACAAUUGUAUUUCACAGAGACAGAACUCAGGACCUGACCUACACCGGCAACACAGUAGCUUAUAUAUUUCUAAAAAUGGGCGCUUUGAGCAAAGAAAGGAUUCUCAUGCCAGUUCCAACACUAGUGGCUGCACUUGAUGCAAUUAUUUGCUUCAGAAGAGAUUCUGCCCUUCCAGCAGGCUCUACUGCUCUGCAAAACAACAUCUUGUUUUACUCUAUGCUGAAGAAUAUCCUCUUUCUCCACAAGUUUUUGAGGGAAGACCUCACUGGCAUUGAAGGUAGCUAAUUUUUAAGCUUCUUGGACAACCGUGAAUGUAGAAAGUGAUCUCAGAAGUACCUGUGAAACUCUGGAAGGAUAUUUUGCUGAAAGAUCACUGGACAUUUCCUUGGCCUCUUGCUUUUACUUCCCAGUGUUCUAUAUAAUGGACAUCUAAAUAGGUAAAUAAAUACAAAAUUCCAAAAGAAAGCAUAGAAGUUUACAGCCUGCUAAGAUCUGUAUCCCCUCUACAUCAGAUUUGUAGAAGUGCCUGUGCCCAAAACCUUGUGUUAAUCACUACAUAUCAAUGGGCAUAUCUAGCAGUAAACCUGUUUAUGUCUCAGUCAGGUAGAACAUGCUCAAGCCACACCUUAAAAUAUGAGCAGCAGAUCAAACAUUUACACGAUACCAGACUGGAAUGUUAUUGUACUCAGGGCAGGCAUGAAAUAGCCUCUUGCUUUGUUCCUGCACUGCACCCCUGAAUUCUAAUAAAGACAGAUAUUCUGAGCACCCACAUCUGUGGUUAUCUAGGGGGUGAGGCAGUCAUCGGACUACACUGCUUGUAGAAAAUUUCCUAUCCUGGUAGCUCAGAGGAGCCUUGCAAUGAGCUGCGGAAGGGGCUUCUGACCAGCACGUGAAGGAAAAAGCUCUCUCCAUAUCCCAUGAAAGAUUUGGGUCUAGCAGGAGGCCUGCACCUCAAGAAAAGAUGCUUUCCUCUUAUCCAUACUGACAGCAGCAGAGUGAGCAAUUCCACCUUUUGGAGCUGAGAAGAGAAAAAUACAACAGCCCUGCAGUACCCUGAAGAACAUUGACACCUGAAUUUCAGUGCCGACCCAAGCCAGCAUUGAGAUGCCAGCUUUGCCAGUGCUGGGAGUGUUUCAAGCCCAGGUCAGAGGUUUGAUUUACCCGGAACAUGUGCGCCCUGCCUCUUGUGGAUCAGCAAGUUUGCAGGCCUCAGAGAUUUUCUGACGCUCUCCUCUUGUGUUUGCUAGCAACUCUUCAUAAAGGUACUCUUUGUAAGUGACAUGAGCUACACUUUCCUUCUUCUAGGACUGCCCAUCUUCAGAUAACUUGCGUGCACGUUCAACCAUGACAACUCCUACUGUAGCCUGGUGAGAACCUCCGCAAGUUUCUGCUAUGGAUUUUUCACACUUUCUCUGCUGAAGUACCAGCACAUCUACCAGCCGGGUCAGGGGAAACACUAAGAGCACCUGUGCUGCCUGGCUGCUUCGUUCAGUGCCGCCUCCCGCUCCUGCUUCCUGGCUUCUGCCACCGCUUGAAUCUUCUCCUGUGCGCAUUCCAUCAGGGCACACCGAAGCCUGUGCGCCAUGCGCUGCUCUGCAGCUUCAGCCUCCCUCCUCUGCUGCUCCUCCAUGUACUGCUGCAUCUCUACCUUCGCCUUCCUCACCGCUU